rnacentral:lncRNA from 1 species
AAAGCCAAAAGCCAAAAAAUGACCUAGACCCAUAAUAUACUCAGCAGCGCCAUAAGAACAAAUAAGGACCCCUCCUCAUCGUCUUCUUCUUCGUGACCCCUCACCCAAGAAUACUCACCAGUAGCCGCAACACCUCACACACAACACCGGCUACUGAACCUUUCCGCCGUUACCACCCAAACCCGUCGGUCAGACCCAUCUCCAGCCACCUUCACUGAACUAGUAGCCCGCUGGAGAACAGACACACACACACAAAUAGAGUGAGGGAACGAGCUUAGAGCUGGAAUAGAUAGAUACGAACUGAAAUCGAAAAUAGUACAAAAACUACUUCGUCUUCUCUAUUCUCGAUUUGGUUCUUAGUUUUCUGCAACAUGGAGUUUAAUUGAUGUUUGGAGCCGAAUUUGAGUUUGAAUCGUGUGGAGGUCGCCAUUGAAGGUAGUCUAUUCCGAAUUCGACGAGGUUUCCGGUUCGAGGUUUUGAUUUGUGCGAUUUCUUGCUCGACUUUGCUGUUGUUGUUCGCGUGAAUUUAGAAGUUUAACAUUUGAAUCUGGCGAUUGCAAAGGUUUCGUUCUUUCUCUAACUCGAUCUUUUGCUUAUUGUAAUAGAAUAACAUGAUUUUCUUAUGAAUUUGGUUUGGAUGCUGAGUUUAUCGUUCGUUCGUUAAUGUGGAGUUACUGGAAAUAUUUUCAAUUAUUUAGUUGCUGAUCUCCUGUAUUUAGGUGUAAUUUGGGUUAAUUUGGGUGGUUUAGAUUGUUAAGCAAAGACACUAACUAACAUUGCUUUCGUCUGAUUAGAGUAAACAGAAGUCGUAAGUCCUUGGUCUGAAUUUUUGAGAGCUAAAAAUUGCGUAAAGAUUUCAUCCAAAAAUCAAGAAGUGGGCUUCAGUAGAAUCUUAGACUUAGAAACAGAAGCUUGUGAUAAGGGACAAGGUUGAACCUAAUAAUGUGUUAUUAUCUGGAAUUCAACUAAAGAUGGACAUUUCUCCAACUAUUCUGCAAUGCAAUUAAUCUUACUAUGACAUUUGUUUGUCUUGUACAGUGUAACAGGCUAACAACUGGCUGAUUUGAGUUUUGAAUUCUGUUACGAUGACUCAUUAGGAGAUUAAGGUUUUAAAGCUUUAGAAUUAACAUUCUAGUGAUAUGGAACAAUUAAGCUCUACUAAUCUCUUCUACUGCUGGACCGUUAUGUUGAAAAGAAAAAUCAGUUGCUUACUUGGAUUUCCUUAAUGUGAUUCACUUGACAAUUGGACUUGGAUUUUAGAUGAGGUAAAGUAGAAUUGGGAUUAAAUUCGCGUUCAUGUUUUAAUAUAGAUUGAUUGAAUCAUCGUGAUUGUGUACACGUUCGCGUGACAUAAUUACGAUUCUAAAAAAAAAACCAAACCGGAGUAUGCGUUCGUGCAACUUCGAUCAAGCUUUCUCGUAAUAAUAAAUUGCUAUUAAUAGUCCACUUUAAUUAAAUAUAAUUUCUUAAAAAUAGACCGAGGUGUGCCAUCCAAUUUAAUCAUCCAUGACCCUCGUAUUAAUCUUAUGACUUAGGUAUAAGAAUGACAAAUGUUCGUAGUUUGUUUUAGGCGUGUUUAAUAUACUAGUAUUGUAAUUGUGGACACGUUCGCGUGGCAUGAUUACGAUUCUAAAAACAAAACCGGAGUAUGCGUUCGCGCAACUUUGGCCCCAAAAUUUUGUUAAUAAUAAUAAAGCGUUAUUAAUUGUGGACACGUUCACAUGACAUGAUUUUGACGCGCCAAACAAAUGAGUACACAUACGCAUGACCUAUUUUCAAGAUAAUUUUCUUAAUUAAAAGCGGUAAAAGGCAAAUGCACACAUGUUCUUAAAUAAGUAAUUAUACAAUUUGAUUAAGCCAAGUAUGAUCAAAGCGACUGUGCUAGAACCACGGAACUCGAAAGUGCCUAACACCUUCUCCCGGGUUAAUAGAAUUUCUUACCCGGGUUUCUAUGUUCGCGGACCGUAAAUAGAGUCAAACUUCCUCGACUCGGGAUUUUAACCGGUGACUUGGGACACCAUAAACUAUCCCAAGUGGCGACUCUGAUCUAAUAAAUAAUCCCGUUUCGAUUGUCACUUAAAUUGGAAAAAACCCUCUUAUACCCCAUCCGGGGUGUAGUAAAAAGGAGGUGUGACAGCUCUGGUGACUCUGCUGGGGACAAGAACCCAGAAUCUCUGGUUCAGGGUUCAGAAUUCGAGCUUGUUAAUAUGAUUUUGGUUGGCUUUAUUUAUUGUUGAUAUUACUGUAUUUUGUGAACCUUUUGUGCUAAAUGCUAUCUGUUUACCGCUUUAAUAUUGUUUGAAUUAUAUAUAAGUUUUUACGCCACCCCCUCUGAGUCUUCUGAAAAUGGUGCACACGUUCGCGUGACCCGCUUUUUCUGUAGAAAUUAUUCCAAAUAGAACGAGGCUAGGCCAACAACAAGGCCGGGCCAACAACAAGGCCGGAUAGACUUUAGUGCUCCCGAUACGUUGCCCCCUCUUCGGCCCCAGUUGUCUGCUCGGGUAACCCAAGUCUAGAACACAACCCCAGGAUUUAAACCUAGAAAAAUACAGUCUCAUGCCGGAUCCCUAGUAGGAACGUUUAUUUGCAUCACGUGUAUUUAACUUAGGGGACUCAACAUAGGGAUUGAGUCCGUCUAGGACAGGUGUACCCAAAAAUAAAAGAUCAUCUUGAUGCAUCCUAUGUGCUAUAUGUUGCAUUUCAUCAGGGGUAAAAGGAUCAUUUGACGGACCAAUGAUAAUUGAGGGCGAAUGAAAAAAUAAGAAAAAAAAGAGAAAAAGAGAAGGUGAAGUGUGAGGAUAAAGUGAGUAGGGCCCAAUUAUGUUUUCUGUCACAUUUUUGUUAAGAAAAAAAGAGCAUGAAAAAUUCAAAAAAGGGAUUUUGCACUUUUUCAUCAUUUUCUGAAAAUCAAAAAAUCCAAAAAAAGGGAAAAAAAAAUUCAAAAAGAGUUUACAUGUUUCAUCAUUUUAAAAAAAGAAGAAGACAAAAACAUAUUUUCUCUAAAUUAGCUAUUUUUUUAAUUCUUGCCUGUAUCCAAUCUGCCCGAACUACGCGAACCUGAUUUUCAUCUUUCGGGGCGUGAUACGUAGGCAACCCACAUAGGGUCCGGUCUUCCUAGUGAGUUUAGGUUCUUGGGUUCGCGGGAUCUUAUCUUUAUCUUGCAUUUGUAGCCACUUUUAGCCACAUAGGUUAAUUUUAGAAAAAUAGUCACAACCAUGUCUUGCAUGUGUCUAGUAGGGAAUGAUAUUGUCUCACAUAGUGUUGGUUUCAGUUUUCUCAUACAGGCGUGGAUCUACUUACCGGAGUUUGAGUAUGACAGAUACCCCAGGACAACUGCAUUCAGGAGCUGCCCGAGGAGCCUUUUUAUGUUUUUGAGUCUAUUGUUCAUGUUUUUCUUUCUAGUCCUGUACAAUAGUAUUCAGUCAUUUAGUUGAUGCUAGUGUCUGUCAUAGUCUAGUUAAGUUGGUCG